rnacentral:tRNA from 2 species
GGGCCCAUAGCUCAGCGGUAGAGCGGUCGGCUCAUAACCGAUUGGUCCCAGGUUCGAAUCCUGGUGGGCCCACCA